rnacentral:rRNA from 1 species
CCUACGGGAGGCAGCAGUGAGGAAUAUUGGUCAAUGGGCGGAAGCCUGAACCAGCCAAGUCGCGUGAGGGAUUAAGGCCCUGCGGGUCGUAAACCUCUUUUGCCGGGGAGCAGUGGUCCGGACGCGUCCGGUCCGGGAGAGUACCCGGAGACAAAGCAUCGGCUAACUCCGUGCCAGCAGCCGCGGUAAUACGGAGGAUGCGAGCGUUAUUCGGCUUUAUUGGGUUUAAAGGGUGCGUAGGCGGGCAUUUAAGCCGGCGGUCAAAUGUCGGGGCUCAACCCCGGCCUGCCGUCGGAACUGGGUGCAUUGAGUGGGCGAGAAGUAUGCGGAAUGCGUGGUGUAGUGGUGAAAUGCAUAGAUAUCACGCAGAACCCCGAUUGCGAAGGCAGCAUACCGGCGCCCUACUGACGCUGAGGCACGAAAGUGCGGGUAUCGAACAGGAUUAGAUACCCUUGUAGUC